rnacentral:lncRNA from 1 species
UUUUGCGUUAAUUGUUCCAUAUAAAAGUCAUCCUCCCUCUCUUUACAUAUAUAAAUAUUAAAAUACAAUCAAAUCUAUGUCAUAGAAAUCUCUAUAUAUUUUUUUCAAUUAAAUAUAUGUGUUAGGAUGGUCCUAGGACCAUCGUAGUUAGGACUGUCCUAAGACAGCUUUGUUUUACAUCCUAAGACAUGUCUCAGACACGUCCUAAGACCAUCCUAAAUAAUGUCCUAAGACCUAUCUUAGGACAUAUCCUAGGAUACUUUCAUUGACACGGCCCCUGUAU